rnacentral:sRNA from 1 species
AGUUCUCAACUCCCGGCUACAGGAGCUGGAGAGGUGGAUUUUGAGGGGGAUUCCCUACGGAGAAGUCGAGGUGUCCUCUCCUGAUGCGUGGGCGGCCAGCCUGGCUUUCCCACUAGAGCGUGGGGAUCCCCAUUCCAAGAAGUUGCCAGAGUUCGACAGUUUGGGCAGAUAGCUUCCCUUUGCUGAAGGUCUGUACCACUUUUAUCACAAUGGCCUUGCAAAGGCCAAGAGAAGACGCAGCCUACACCACAAGCAGCAGCUGGAGAGAGACCCCAGGGUAAAGAUGGCUUUGCAGCAGGAAGGAUUUGACCGAAAAAAGCGAGGUUACAGAGACAUCAAUGAGAUCGACAUCAACAUGAACGAUCCUCUUUUUACAAAGCAAUGGUAUCUGAUCAAUACUGGGCAAGCUGAUGGCACUCCUGGCCUUGAUUUGAAUGUGGCUGAAGCCUGGGAGCUGGGAUACACAGGGAAAGGUGUUACCAUUGGGAUUAUGGAUGACGGGAUUGACUAUCUCCACCCGGACCUGGCCUCCAACUAUAAUGCCGAAGCAAGUUACGACUUCAGCAGCAACGACCCCUAUCCUUAC